CGUAGCUUAAACCCUAAAGCAU
rnacentral:tRNA from 1 species